AAUGAACGUUGGCGGCGUGGAUUAGGCAUGCAAGUCGCGCGAUUUCCUUCGGGGAAGAGCGGCGGAAGGGAGAGUAACGCGUAGAUACCUACCCUCGGGACUGGAAUAGCGACGGGAAACUGUCGGUAAUGCCAGAUAACGUCCCUGGACCAAAGGUGUGAAUCCGCCUGAGGAGGGGUCUGCGUCCUAUUAGCUAGUUGGCGGGGUAACGGCCCACCAAGGCGAAGAUGGGUACCGGGCGUGAGAGCGUGACCCGGCUCACUGGGACUGAGACACUGCCCAGACACCUAGGGGUGGCUGCAGUCGAGAAUCUUCGGCAAUGAGCGCAAGCUUGACCGAGCGACGCCGCGUGCGGGAUGAAGGCUUUCGGGUUGUAAACCGCUGUCAGUGGGGAGGAAAUUCUUGGGGGUACUCCCCCUUGAUUGACUGAUCCGCAGAGGAAGGACGGGCUAAGUUCGUGCCAGCCGCCGCCGUAAUAC
rnacentral:rRNA from 1 species